CGGCUACCAUGCAGUCGAGCGGUAGCACAGGGGUAGCUUGCUCCCUGGGUGACGAGCGGCGGAACGGGUGAGUAAUGUCUGGGAAACUGCCUGAUGGAGGGGGAUAACUACUGGAAACGGUAGCUAAUACCGCAUAACGUCGCAAGACCAAAGAGGGGGACCUUCGGGCCUCUUGCCAUCAGAUGUGCCCAGAUGGGAUUAGCUAGUAGGUGGGGUAAUGGCUCACCUAGGCGACGAUCCCUAGCUGGUCUGAGAGGAUGACCAGCCACACUGGAACUGAGACACGGUCCAGACUCCUACGGGAGGCAGCAGUGGGGAAUAUUGCACAAUGGGCGCAAGCCUGAUGCAGCCAUGCCGCGUGUGUGAAGAAGGCCUUCGGGUUGUAAAGCACUUUCAGCGAGGAGGAAGGUGGUGAACUUAAUACGUUCAUCAAUUGACGUUACUCGCAGAAGAAGCACCGGCUAACUCCGUGCCAGCAGCCGCGGUAAUACGGAGGGUGCAAGCGUUAAUCGGAAUUACUGGGCGUAAAGCGCACGCAGGCGGUUUGUUAAGUCAGAUGUGAAAUCCCCGGGCUCAACCUGGGAACUGCAUUUGAAAUCUGGCAAGCUAGAGUCUCGUAGAGGGGGGUAGAAUUCCAGGUGUACGCGGUGAAAUGCGUAGAGAUCUGGAGGAAUACCGGUGGCGAAGGCGGCCCCCUGAUCGAAGACUACG
rnacentral:rRNA from 1 species